rnacentral:rRNA from 1 species
GCAGCUGAUCAGCCAUGCCGCGUGAGUGAGAAGGUCUUCGGAUUGUAAGCUCUUUAAGUCGGGAGGAAGGGCAGUAGGUUAAUACCUUGCUGCCUUGACCUUACCGACAGAAUAAGCACCGGCUAACUUCGUGCCAGCAGCCGCGGUAAUACAA